AAUCAACGCUGGCGGCGUGCCUCAGACAUGCAAGUCGAACGCGAAAGUCCCCUUCGGGGGACGAAGUAGAGUGGCGCACGGGUGAGUAACACGUAGGUAAUCUACCUUCGGAUGGGGAAGUAACAACCGGAAACGGUUAGCUAAUACCGCAUAAUGCAGCGGCACCUAAUGGUGACAGUUGUUAAAGACGGGGGAGUCGAAAGACCUCGCGUCUGAAGAGGAGCCUGCGGCGGAUUAGCAGUUGGUAAGGUAACGGCUUACCAAGGCGACGAUCCGUAGCCGGCCUGAGAGGGGCGGUCGGCCACACUGACACUGACAUACGGGUCAGACUCCUACGGGAGGCAGCAGUCGGGAAUUUUGGGUCGAAUGGGCGAAAGCCUGACCCAGCAACGCCGCGUGAAGGAUGAAAUCCCUC
rnacentral:rRNA from 1 species